UGGGGAAUAUUGCACAAUGGGCGCAAGCCUGAUGCAGCAACGCCGCGUGAGGGACGACGGCCUUCGGGUUGUAAACCUCUUUUAGUAGGGAAGAAGCGAAAGUGACGGUACCUGCAGAAAAAGCACCGGCUAACUACGUGCCAGCAGCCGCGGUAAUACGUAGGGUGCGAGCGUUGUCCGGAAUUAUUGGGCGUAAAGAGCUCGUAGGCGGUCUGUCGCGUCUGCUGUGAAAACCCGAGGCUCAACCUCGGGCCUGCAGUGGGUACGGGCAGACUAGAGUGCGGUAGGGGAGAAUGGAAUUCCUGGUGUAGCGGUGGAAUGCGCAGAUAUCAGGAGGAACACCGAUGGCGAAGGCAGUUCUCUGGGCCGUAACUGACGCUGAGGAGCGAAAGCGUGGGGAGCGAACAGGAUUAGAUACCCUGGUAGUCCACGCCGUAAACGUUGGGCGCUAGGUGUGGGGACCAUUCCACGGUUUCCGUGUCGCAGCUAACGCAUUAAGCGCCCCGCCUGGGGAGUACGGCCGCAAGGCUAAAACGUCAAAGGAAUUGACGGGGUCAUAGCUAGUUUCCU
rnacentral:rRNA from 1 species